rnacentral:rRNA from 1 species
UACGUAGGGGGCAAGCGUUGUCCGGAAUCAUUGGGCGUAAAGCGCGUGUAGGCGGCUCGAUAAGUCCGCUCUGAAAGUCCAGGGCUCAACCCUGGGAUGCGGGUGGAUACUGUCGGGCUCGAGUCCGGAAGAGGCGAGUGGAAUUCCUGGUGUAGCGGUGAAAUGCGCAGAUAUCAGGAAGAACACCCGUGGCUAAGGCGGCUCUCUAGUACGGUACUGACGCUGAGACGCGAAAGCGUGGGGAGCGAACAGG